rnacentral:rRNA from 1 species
UACAGAGGGUGCAAGCGUUAAUCGGAUUUACUGGGCGUAAAGGGCCAGUAGGCGGCCAACUAAGUCCGACGUGAAAUCCCCAGGCUUAACCUGGGAACUGCGUCGGAUACUGGAUGGCUUGAAUUCGGGAGAGGGAUGCAGAAUUCCAGGUGUAGCGGUGAAAUGCGUAGAUAUCUGGAGGAAUACCGGUGGCGAAGGCGGCAUCCUGGACCGACAUUGACGCUGAACGGCGAAAGCUAGGGGAGCAAACGGG